rnacentral:rRNA from 1 species
CACGACCGUUAAGCCCUCCAGCGCCAAUGGUACUUGGACCGCAGGGUCCUGGGAGAGUAGGACGUUGCCAGGC